rnacentral:rRNA from 1 species
CCUACGGGAGGCAGCAGUGGGGGAUAUUGCACAAUGGGGGAAACCCUGAUGCAGCGACGCCGCGUGGGCGAAGAAGUAUUUCGGUAUGUAAAGCCCUAUCAGCAGGGAAGAAGAUAUGACGGUACCUGAGUAAGAAGCACCGGCUAAAUACGUGCCAGCAGCCGCGGUAAUACGUAUGGUGCAAGCGUUAUCCGGAUUUACUGGGGGUAAAGGGAGCGUAGACGGCAGUGCAAGUCUGGAGUGAAAGGCGGGGGCUCAACCCCCGGACUGCGCUGGAAACUGUACGGCUGGAGUGCAGGAGAGGUAAGUGGAAUUCCUAGUGUAGCGGUGAAAUGCGUAGAGAUUAGGAGGAACACCAGUGGCGAAGGCGGCUUACUGGACUGUAACUGACGUUGAGGCUCGAAAGCGUGGGGAGCAAACAGGAUUAGAUACCCCUGUAGUC